CCUACGGGUGGCAGCAGUGAGGAAUAUUGGUCAAUGGCCGGAAGGCUGAACCAGCCAUGCCGCGUGAAGGUCAGUGCCCUAUGGGCGUUAAACUUCUUUUGUGCGGGAGCAAUAAUGGUAACGUGUGGCCAGACGAGAGUACCGUACGAAUAAGCAUCGGCUAACUCCGUGCCAGCAGCCGCGGUAAUACGGGGGAUGCAAGCGUUAUCCGGAUUUAUUGGGUUUAAAGGGGGCGUAGGCUGUGGGGUAAGUCAGCGGUGAAAUGCCCCCGCUCAACGGGGUGAAGUGCCAUUGAUACUGCCGUGCUGGAUUGCGGCUGCCGUGGGAAGAAUGUGUGGUGUAGCGGUGAAAUGCAUAGAUAUCACACAGAACACCGAUUGCGAAGGCAUCUCACGAAUCCGCGAUUGACGCUGAUGCACGAAAGCGUGGGUAUCAAACAGGAUUAGAUACCCUAGUAGUC
rnacentral:rRNA from 1 species